rnacentral:rRNA from 1 species
GACGAACGCUGGCGGCGUGCUUAACACAUGCAAGUCGAACGGAAAGGCCCUGCUCUUGUGGGGUGCUCGAGUGGCGAACGGGUGAGUAACACGUGAGUAACCUGCCCUUGACUUUGGGGUAACUUCAGGAAACUGGGGCUAAUACCGGAUAGGAGCUCCUGCUGCAUGGUGGGGGUUGGAAAGUUUCGGCGGUUGGGGAUGGACUCGCGGCUUAUCAGCUUGUUGGUGGGGUAGUGGCUUACCAAGGCUUUGACGGGUAGCCGGCCUGAGAGGGUGACCGGCCACAUUGGGACUGAGAUACGGCCCAGACUCCUACGGGAGGCAGCAGUGGGGAAUAUUGCAGGAUGGGCGGAGGCCUGAUGCUGAAACGCCGCGUGCGGGAUGACGGCCUUCGGGUUGUAAACCGAUUUCGCCUGUGACGAAGCGUGAGUGACGGUAAUGGGUAAAGAAGCACCGGCUAACUACGUG